rnacentral:tRNA from 1 species
GGCGGGGUAGCUCAGUUGGUUAGAGCACGCGGCUCAUACCCGCGGUGUCAAGAGUUCAAGUCUCUUCCCCGCUA